CUUGGGAAAUCUGGCAGCUUAACUGUCAGGCUGCUAGGGGAUACUGCUAGGCUUGGGACCGGGAGAGGUGAGAGGUACCUUGGGGGUAGGGGUGAAAUCUUGUGAUCCUCGGGGGACCACCAGUGGCGAAGGCGUCUCACCAGAACGGGUCCGACGGUAAGGGACGAAAGCUAGGGGCACGAACCGGAUUAGAUACCCGGGUAGUCCUAGCCGUAAACGAUGCUCGCUAGGUGUCAGUCACGGUGCGACCGUGAUUGGUGCCGAAGGGAAGCCGUGAAGCGAGCCACCUGGGAAGUAUGGCCGCAAGGCUGAAACUUAAAGGAAUUGGCGGGGGAGCACUACAACGGGUGGAGCCUGCGGUUUAAUUGGAUUCAACGCCGGAAAUCUCACCGGGGGCGACAGCGAUAUGAAGGUCAGGCUGAAGACCUUACCCGAUUAGCUGAGAGG
rnacentral:rRNA from 1 species